AACAAGGUCUCCGUUGGUGAACCAGCGGAGGGAUCAUUACCGAGUUUACAACUCCCAAACCCCUGUGAACAUACCACUUGUUGCCUCGGCGGAUCAGCCCGCUCCCGGUAAAACGGGACGGCCCGCCAGAGGACCCCUAAACUCUGUUUCUAUAUGUAACUUCUGAGUAAAACCAUAAAUAAAUCAAAACUUUCAACAACGGAUCUCUUGGUUCUGGCAUUGAUGAAGAACGCAGCAAAAUGCGAUAAGUAAUGUGAAUUGCAGAAUUCAGUGAAUCAUCGAAUCUUUGAACGCACAUUGCGCCCGCCAGUAUUCUGGCGGGCAUGCCUGUUCGAGCGUCAUUUCAACCCUCAAGCACAGCUUGGUGUUGGGACUCGCGUUAAUUCGCGUUCCCCAAAUUGAUUGGCGGUCACGUCGAGCUUCCAUAGCGUAGUAGUAAAACCCUCGUUACUGGUAAUCGUCGCGGCCACGCCGUUAAACCCCAACUUCUGAAUGUUGACCUCGGAUCAGGUAGGAAUACCCGCUGAACUUAAGCAUAUCAACAAG
rnacentral:rRNA from 1 species